UAGUCUGGGAAACUGCCUGAUGGAGGGGGGUAACUGCUGGAAACGGUAGCUAAUACCGCAUAACGUCGCAAGACCAAAGUGGGGGACCUUCGGGCCUCAUGCCAUCAGAUGUGCCCAGAUGGGAUUAGCUAGUAGGUGGGGUAACGGCUCACCUAGGCGACGAUCCCUAGCUGGUCUGAGAGGAUGACCAGCCACACUGGAACUGAGACACGGUCCAG
rnacentral:rRNA from 1 species